CGGAGUAAUACAUCGGAACGUGUCUUCUAGUGGGGGAUAACUGCCCGAAAGGGCAGCUAAUACCGCAUGAGACCUGAGGGUGAAAGCGGGGGAUCGCAAGACCUCGCGCUGGAAGAGCGGCCGAUGUCCGAUUAGCUAGUUGGUGAGGUAAAGGCUCACCAAGGCGACGAUCGGUAGCUGGUCUGAGAGGACGACCAGCCACACUGGGACUGAGACACGGCCCAG
rnacentral:rRNA from 1 species